UUUUGCUGGGGUUUCUGGGUGAAAUAUGCAUUUGGAGGCAUUUUAAUCUUUUAUUCAAGUUAUAUCAUCAAUAUUAUAAUCAUUUUAGAGUACAAUUUAUGUCAUUUCAAUGUAUUCUAAUUACAUUUUUGUAAUUAUUAUGCAGUUUUUAUUUAAGGUUAGAAAAUUAUUUUCUUCUUAUUCUUUUACUCUUCUUCUAUGGAAAGUAAUUAGGUCAGAAAGUCAGCUGGUUUCUGCCAACCAAACACAUCUAUGUCUCAAUAGAAAAUAGGAAGGGCGGAUAGAGAAAUUUUGCAUCGUUACGUUGGCGGCAAUACUUUUUCCCUCCUCUGUCGAAAUAGAAAUAAAUUGGAUGCCGCCAUCUUGGAUGUUUUCUUGCUAUAUUGUGUAGUGGUCGUAAUUUAUUGCAGUUUUUAAUUAUAUUUUAUUGAGUUCAGUCUUAAAUUAUUGUGAAAUGUGUUCCUUAUUAUCUUAAUCAACUAGUGUGAACAUAGAAAUCCAGUUCUAUCCGAUAAUUUUAACGUGAGCUUUGAUAUAAAAACAGCCUAUUCUUCAGUCGCCGAUUAGUUCAAGUGACCGCGCAGAGGAAUCUCACUGCUUUGAGAAGGAAGCCCUUACCUCCAAUCUCCAGCCAAGGAUUACUUCACAGAAUGACUGCGCAGAGGAAUCUCACUGCUUUGAGAAGGAAGACCUUAUCUCCAAUCUCCAGCCUUGAAUUACUUCACAUCAUGAUGUUAAACAUCGUCGACGGAAUUUACUCGAGGACCGGCAAUCGGCAGGCCACUAUUAAAAAUACUGGGGAUAUUUUUACCGAGAAUAAACAUGUUUUAUUAUUUUUUCAUUCAUCGUUUUAUUUUAUUUUUAUAAUUUUUUCAUGAGUUAUUAAAUUUUAUUUUUUGUUUGCU